rnacentral:rRNA from 1 species
AUACGUAGGGGGCAAGCGUUGUCCGGAAUUAUUGGGCGUAAAGAGCGCGUAGGCGGCUUUCCAAGUCCGGUGUGAAAUCUCAGGGCUUAACCCUGAGCCUGCAUUGGAAACUGGUUUGCUAGAGUUCGGUAGAGGAGAUUGGAAUUCCUGGUGUAGCGGUGAAAUGCGCAGAUAUCAGGAAGAACACCAGUGGCGAAGGCGGAUCUCUGGGCCGUAACUGACGCUGAGGCGCGAAAGCUAGGGGAGCAAACAGGAUUAGAUACCCCAGUAGUCC